GAUGAACGCUAGCGGGAGGCCUAACACAUGCAAGCCGAGCGGUAGAGUUUCUUCGGAAACUUGAGAGCGGCGCACGGGUGCGUAACACGUGUGCAACCUACCUUUAUCUGGGGGAUAGCCUUUCGAAAGGAGGAUUAAUACCCCAUAAUAUAAUGAUUGGCAUCAAUUAUUAUUGAAAACUCCGGUGGAUAGAGAUGGGCACGCGCAAGAUUAGAUAGUUGGUGAGGUAACGGCUCACCAAGUCAAUGAUCUUUAGGGGUCCUGAGAGGGAGAUCCCCCACACUGGUACUGAGACACGGACCAGACUCCUACGGGAGGCAGCAGUGAGGAAUAUUGGACAAUGGGUGAGAGCCUGAUCCAGCCAUCCCGCGUGAAGGAUGACGGUCCUAGGGAUUGUAAACUUCUUUUGUACAGGGAUAAACCUACCCUCGUGAGGGUAGCUGAAGGUACUGUACGAAUAAGCACCGGCUAACUCCGUG
rnacentral:rRNA from 1 species